GUGCCAGCAGCCGCGGUAAUACGUAGGGUGCGAGCGUUAAUCGGAAUUACUGGGCGUAAAGCGUGCGUAGGCGGUCCGCUGUGUCCCGUGUGAAAGCCCCGGGCUUAACCUGGGAAUUGCAUGGGAAACUGGCGGGCUUGAGUGUGGCAGAGGAGGGUGGAAUUCCGCGUGUAGCAGUGAAAUGCGUAGAGAUGCGGAGGAACACCGAUGGCGAAGGCAGCCCUCUGGGCCAACACUGACGCUCAGGCACGAAAGCGUGGGGAGCAAACAGGAUUAGAUACCCGGGUAGUCC
rnacentral:rRNA from 1 species